rnacentral:rRNA from 1 species
CUACGGGCUGCAGCAGUGGGGAAUAUUGCACAAUGGGCGCAAGCCUGAUGCAGCCAUGCCGCGUGUAUGAAGAAGGCCUUCGGGUUGUAAAGUACUUUCAGCGGGGAGGAAGGGAGUAAAGUUAAUACCUUUGCUCAUUGACGUUACCCGCAGAAGAAGCACCGGCGAACUCCGUGCCAGCAGCCGCGGUAAUACGGAGGGUGCAAGCGUUUAUCGGAAUUACUGGGCGUAAAGCGCACGCAGGCGGUUUGUUAAGUCAGAUGUGAAAUCCCCGGGCUCAACCUGGGAACUGCAUCUGAUACUGGCAAGCUUGAGUCUCGUAGAGGGGGGUAGAAUUCCAGGUGUAGCGGUGAAAUGCGUAGAGAUCUGGAGGAAUACCGGUGGCGAAGGCGGCCCCCUGGACGAAGACUGACGCUCAGGUGCGAAAGCGUGGGGAGCAAACAGGAUUAGAUACCCUUGUAGUC